UUCUCAGGACUCACGCAGCAAACAAGUCUUUUUGGCGCCUGAAACUCCUUAACCCGAGAGCUUUUUUUGGAAAGAGAGAAGGUUUUACAUAAAAAGUCUGUCCGUAAUGCGAGGUAGCUUCGUGCAAAGCGCUUUUAUUUAAGUCAUCGCCUGAUGAGGCACAAAGAGCUGCCGAAGCUUUAGACGUGGAGUCUUCUGAGAUCCGCUUCAACCACACACAAACAUCCAGUAAAGCCCCUCCAGCAACCAUCACACCUUCAAAGAAGCUCCUCCCAUGACAAUCACACCUUCAGUGAAGCUCCUCCCACAACAACCACGCCUUCAGUGAAGCUCCUCCCACAACAAUCACACCUUUAGUGAAACUCCUCCCACAACAAUCACACCUUCAGUGAAGCUCCUCCCAAAACAAUCACACCUUCAGUGAAGCUCCUCCC